GUGGUUCAGACUGAAACACGACUGCCAGCAACAGGAGAGCAGAACCCUGACUAGUUCUGUUUGCUGUUCUUAAAUACUGCGCCCUGGCUGGUUCUGGGUUGUGUUCCUGCUUCUACAUCCUGAGCAGGUCCAUUUGCAGAUACUGUGGGACAGAGGGGGUUAAGACUGAGAACAAAUGCAGCCAGAAUGAGGCUGUCGGUCCUUCAGUGAAGGUUAACCUGGUGUGGAGCUGCAGAGGUUCAGAUCCUGACCUCUAAACAGGCUCGGGGUUUCUAUCAUUUCAGCCGCACAGCGGUUCUGUCCGGUUUCACUCAGGAAGAGAACUUCGCCCCUGUUAUGCCUUCAGUUUAUAAAACCACACUUUUAGCUCUUUAGUCGCCAUCUUGUACUUUUUUGAUGUAUUUGGACUCAGGUUGGCUUAAGAAGGUCUGUAGUAAAUGAGCAC